rnacentral:rRNA from 1 species
GACGAACGCUGGCGGCGUGCUUAACACAUGCAAGUCGAACGGAAAGGCCCUGCUUUUGUGGGGUGCUCGAGUGGCGAACGGGUGAGUAUCACGUGAGUAUCCUGCCCUUGACUUUGGGAUAACUUCAGGAAAAUGGGGCUAAUACCGGAUAGGAGCUCCUGCUGCAUGGUGGGGGUUGGAAAGUUUCGGCGGUUGGGGAUGGACUCGCGGCUUAUCAGCUUGUUGGUGUGGUAGUGGCUUACCAAGGCUUUGACGGGUAGCCGGCAUGAGAGGGUGACCGGCCACAUUGGGACUGAGAUACGGCCCAGACUCCUACGGGAGGCAGCAGUGGGGAAUAUUGCACAAUGAGCGGAAGCCUGAUGCAACAACGCCGCGUGCGGGAUGACGGCCUUCGGGUUGUAAACCGCUUUCGCCUGUGACGAAGCGUGAGUGACGGUAAUGAGUAAAGAAGCACCGGCUAACUACGUG